UAGCUAGUUGGAGGGGUAAAGGCCCACCAAGGCGACGAUCGGUAGCUGGUCUGAGAGGACGAACAGCCACACUGGGACUGAGACACGGCCCAGACUCCUACGGGAGGCAGCAGUGGGGAAUAUUGGACAAUGGGGGGAACCCUGAUCCAGCAAUGCCGCGUGUGUGAAGAAGGCCUGAGGGUUGUAAAGCACUUUCAGUGGGGAGGAGGGUUUAUAGGUUAAGAGCUGAUAAACUGGACGUUACCCACAGAAGAAGCACCGGCUAACUCCGUGCCAGCAGCCGCGGUAAUACGGAGGGUGCGAGCGUUAAUCGGAAUUACUGGGCGUAAAGGGUGCGUAGGUGGUUAAUUAAGUUAGGUGUAAAAUCCCUGGGCUUAACCUAGGAAUGAGAUUUAAUACUGAUUAACUGGAGUAUUGGAGAGGGUAGUGGAAUUUCCGGUGUAGCGGUGAAAUGUGUAGAGAUCGGAAGGAACACCAGUGGCGAAGGCGGCUACCUGGCCAGAUACUGACACUGAAGCACGAAAGCGUGGGGAGCAAACAGGAUUAGAUACCCCGGUAGUCCACGCUGUAAACGAUGUCAACUAGCCGUUGGUCAUAUUAAGAUGAUAAGUGGCGC
rnacentral:rRNA from 1 species